rnacentral:rRNA from 1 species
UACGUAGGGGGCGAGCGUUGUCCGGAUUUAUUGGGCGUAAAGGGCGCGUAGGCGGAUAGUUUAGUCAGAGGUGAAAGCCCAGGGCUCAACCUUGGAAUUGCCUUUGAUACUGGCUAUCUUGAGUUCGGGAGAGGUGAGUGGAAUGCCGAGUGUAGAGGUGAAAUUCGUAGAUAUUCGGCGGAACACCAGUGGCGAAGGCGGUGCUCUGGGCCGGAACUGACGCUGAGGAGCGAAAGCGUGGGGGAGCAAACAGG